AUUUGAAAUCUGGCGUCUUCGACGUCCGAGUUGUAAUUUGAAGAAGGCGACUUUGUAGCUGGUCCUUGUCUAUGUUCCUUGGAACAGGACGUCAUAGAGGGUGAGAAUCCCGUGUGGCGAGGAUCCCAGUUAUUUGUAAAGUGCUUUCGACGAGUCGAGUUGUUUGGGAAUGCAGCUCUAAGUGGGUGGUAAAUUCCAUCUAAAGCUAAAUAUUGGCGAGAGACCGAUAGCGAACAAGUACAGUGAUGGAAAGAUGAAAAGAACUUUGAAAAGAGAGUGAAAAAGUACGUGAAAUUGUUGAAAGGGAAGGGCAUUUGAUCAGACAUGGCGUUUGCUUCGGCUUUCGCUGGGCCAGCAUCAGUUUUAGCGGUUGGAUAAAUCCUCGGGAAUGUGGCUCUGCUUCGGUAGAGUGUUAUAGCCCGUGGGAAUACAGCCAGCUGGGACUGAGGAUUGCGACUUUUGU
rnacentral:rRNA from 1 species